rnacentral:rRNA from 1 species
GCACAAGCGGUGGAUCAUGUUGUUUAAUUCGAUGAUACGCGAAGAACUUACCAGGUCUUGACAUCCCCCGCGAUGCUUUAGAGAUAAAGCGGAGGUAUUCGGGGAGACAGGUGGUGCAUGGUUGUCGUCAGCUCGUGUCGUGAGAUGUUGGGUUAAGUCCCGCAACGAGCGCAACCCCUAUUGCUAGUUACCAUCAUUAAGUUGGGGACUCUAGCGAGACUGCCAGUGAUAAACUGGAGGAAGGUGGGGAUGACGUCAAAUCAUCAUGCCCCUUAUGACCUGGGCUACAAACGUGAUACAAUGGCUGGAACAAAGGGAUGCGAAGCAGUGAUGUGGAGCGAAACCCAUAAAACCGAUCGUAGUCCGGAUCGCAGUCUGCAACUCGACUGCGUGAAGUCGGAAUCGCUAGUAAUCGUGAACUUCACGAAUCGUCACGGUGAAUAACGUUCCGGGCUU